GAGAAUGAGCAGCACACUUCACCGUCUUGUGUGUGCAUUUUGUAAUUUUAUUACCACAAAUAUAUAUUUCUGCAUGAUUUCGAUAUAUUUUCUAGUUUGGCAACAUUUUAUAACGUCAUUAGUUUAGAGAAGGAUAAUAAUUUAAUAAUAAUAGUAAUUGGCCGUGUCUCAAUGCUUGUUUCAGAAUAUUAACAAUUAUAAAGUUGACUGUUAUUCUUAGUUAAUAGUAAAUUGUUUAAUAUGCUUAUGACUUGCGAAUCUAAUGGUCAGUUAACUUAAAUAAACCAGGGCUGAUGACGUAUGCGAGUGCGACCUCCGCAGGCUGAAACCAGUCUCUCGAGCUGAAAGAAAACGGAGCUGAGCAGAUAUGAGGAAACUUCCACCUACAGUAAGCAGAUGCUGAGGCCCAGAUUUCCAUGCUAAGCACUCCAAGGCUCAUCAUGCUCGGAGAGUCCAAUCUGAGGGCAAAAAAUGGAUGCUUUCCAUCGAGUGCAGAGUUCUCCUCCAAUUGAGUGACCGUUGUGAUUUCACUUCUGCUCGAGCCUUUUUGUGUCAUACUAUGUAUGAGGCAGCCACUACAUUGGGAUUUAUCCAGAGCCAAUUUAUCGUGUCAAAUGAAAAAUCUGAGUUGACUGAACAUAGUUCAGCCAGAAAAGCGUAUGGGAAUGCACCUGACAUUAAUUGGCUUCAGUGUGGAUGCGUGGGAGUUGAUGAUCGACAUUUUCUACAAUAAAGUUAUGGUAAGUACUUAAAUAUUUACAUUUAAGUCAUUUUUAAGUAUUUUUAAAGUCAUUUUCUAGUUAAACUGAGUGAAAAUCUGAAUAAUUACAGCAUACAAACAAAAGCAUAUGAUGUUUUCUCCUCAGUGUAACGCACCGAGCAACGCUUCAUUUAGUGAGGAAAUGGCAAGGUCACUACAACUUUCACAAGUACCAAGGCUUUGGUGAUUUACACACGUGACAUGAAAAUGGGAAUUCGUGAAAAACUGAGCAGUUGCUGAUCCAUGUCAAGAUUCAUUUCCAGUGAGCCGGUUGUGAUGGAAAAUUUGUGAGACUUUAUGCCUUUAAUUUGUAGAAUGUUUUAGGUGUUUAAAGGCGGAGUCCACGAUGUUUGAAAAACGCGUUGGAAGAGGAGACGGGCCGACUACCAAAACACACUUAUAGCCAAUCAAAUCAAAUCAAAUGCCGGGUUGCGUAUGUGUGGGGCGGGUCUAUCAACAGAAGGUCCAGAUUCUAUUGGGGUAGGGGCGUGUUUGUUUAGGUGAUUUCAAAUAUCAACAUUGGCUUUCAAACAUCAUGGACUCCGCCUUUAAUGUUAAACUGUUUUGAGGCAUUGUUUAAAUGUUUAAGUGUUUAAAGUAGUUUCAUAAGCUCUUUUCUUCGUGUGAGAAUGUUAAAUUCAAGUGAAAUUGUGAUUAACAUUGGGUGAGGAACCCUCCCCACUUUUAUAUUGGUGUUUUUGGAGAUAUUUGUAAAAUAUAUUUUCUAAACUUUUUAUUAAAAAUAAUUAUUUUCUAAUGUCUACUGUGCAAUUGUAUGCAGACCAUUUCUGUAUGUUUACAAUUUUAAGGUAUUACAAAUAAAUAAAAAAUGAAUAAAAUGUUACAAAAUAGUUUGUGUGUUUCUUUUUCUAUUAGGACAACGGGAAAUAAACAAUUCAGCAUAGUUCCUUAUCAAUAUAAUUUUACCAAUAUACAUUUUCAGAUUGGGUAAAUUAAAAAAAGAAUGCUACCACAAUUUUAAAAAGUUAAUUGGGCAAAAAACAUGGUUUCUUAUUUUCAAUUGGCUCAACCUGUUAUUUUCCAUUGAGCUAAUUUUUAAAGAUCGUUGCCACAAUUGAUAAAAUUCCAUUCACAGAAAAUCUAUUGGCCCAAGUGAAAAAUGUCAAUGUUACCAGUCACUAGAAAAUUUUGAGUUAGGGAGGCAAAGUUUUUUUUUUUUUUAAAUGAACUGUUGUGCUAUUGUUAAAUAUCAAACGUUUAAUUUAACUCACCAUGCAAAAGGUAGAAAAGCAGCACAGCUAGUCUAAUACAGUGGCAGCCGGUGACUUCUUUUUUCGAGGGCGUUUGUCACAACAUGUAUGUAGCCCAUCAUGUGUGUGGUUCGUCAUUUCAAAAUAUGUGUUUGGCGCGUCGAGUGAAACAAUACUUUUCCAUUCACAAAUUAACAAAUAUUUACCAUAAAUUUCACUGUUGUAUCACUAACUGUAAACAUGGUAUUGUGGCAGAAAUUUGGGAUAUUCAUGUAUAAUUUUAUAAUA